GGACAAAAGUCUGACGGAGCAACGCCGCGUGAGUGAUGAAGGUUUUCGGAUCGUAAAACUCUGUUGUUAGGGAAGAACAAGUACAAGAGUAACUGCUUGUACCUUGACGGUACCUAACCAGAAAGCCACGGCUAACUACGUGCCAGCAGCCGCGGUAAUACGUAUGUGGCAAGCGUUGUCCGGAAUUAUUGGGCGUACAGCGCGCGCAGGCGGUCCUUUAAGUCUGAUGUGAAAGCCCACGGCUCAACCGUGGACGGUCAUUGAAAACUGGGGGACUUGAGUGCAGAAGAAAGAGUGGAAUUCCACGUGUAGCGGUGAAAUGCGUUAGAUGUGGAGGAACACCAGUGGCGAAGCUACUCUUUGGUCUGUAACUGACGCUGAAGCGCGA
rnacentral:rRNA from 1 species